CCUGGAUCACGUGUCCAUCCUCGGGACCAAGGGGUGGGGUUUGCCCGCGCAAUUCACUUGGACCCGGCGAGGAGGGCGUUCUGCACCAGAAAAUCUGGGUGCUGGCACCGCAAGACGGGACCCAGAGGACUGCUGGGCUGUCCGUGCUGCUGGGGGAGCCGAGCAGAGGGGGAGCCCAAGGCCCACGGGCAUGCAUGGCACAGAGUCAGGGCUCAGAUGGGGCAAGGACCUGAGACAUCCCGGUACAUUCCAGAACUUUCCAGAGCGUCCUCCAUCUCCCAGUUCCUGAGACAAAGAUGCUUGCGGAGGGAGAGCAGAUGGAUACGUGGUUGUGGCUGGGGGCUGACACCUCAGGAGGCGGUUGUCCCCCCAGGAGGAGUGUUGCUGGAGUCGUGUAGCUGAGCACUGAAACCACAGCAAGAGGAACUGUGGUGGGGUCAACAGUAAAACAGGAGGAAUUUGUACACAGACACGCACACACGGAAGGAUGCCGUGUAUCCUGCCACCGACCGAAAGAACCCUCCGAAUCUCCCUUGGAGAGCAGCCUGGAACAGGUCCUCCCCGAGCACCGGCGGGAAGGAGCACAGCCCUGCCAUCCUCUUGGUCUUGGACGUCCAGCCUGCCCAACGUGAGACAGUCCAUUCCUGGUGAAGCCACUCCGUUUGCAGUGCUUUUAACGGCCGUCCUAGCGAACCGCUGCAGAGGGAGUGUCACUCCGACGCCCCACCUGCCCUGGCCAGGAGGGCGCCCGCCCCUGCAGAAGCCCCUGGCUGGAAUGUGCAUCCCAGGGCCUCAGUGAGCACCCCGCCCAUCCUCCACCAGCUGGGCGAUCUUCUUGGGGGAACUUCUUUCUGCCUCCCCUUCAGCUCUGAGCUGCCCCCAGAAUUCCUGAUACGAAUUCCGAAUUGUUUUCUCUUGCUGUCAAUCAGAUGUUCCUGCUUGAAGCCAGAACCAAGAGCCACCCCUUUAAGGCAGGUCUCCAGGCAGGGAGGGGGCAUCUCCCCGCCCCACCGGGGGCCUGGCUUGCUCCCUCUCGCCCAGACCACCCGCACCACACAGUUGUUCAGCUGAUCUAGAUCUGGGGCUUGGCGCAGGGAUGCAGCGGUGAAUGAGGCUGCAGGAAAGGAGAUGAUUAAGGACUUUGGGCUCAGCACGGGGGGCGGGGGGGGGGAUGUGACAGGAGGAAAGGGGCCCUGUAGGAGCACAGAUGUGGGACACGGAACUCGGCGUGGGUGGGGUGGGUAGUCAGCCACGAGGUGGGGGCAGGGUUGCCGGGAGCAGGUGGGAGGGAGCCAGGGUGACCAACCUCCCCGCUUGCCUGGGACUGUCCUGAUUUUAGCAUCUAGAGUCUGGGCUCCUAGGAACCCCGUGUCUGGAGUGGAGAGCAGGGCAGGGGGUGGGGAGAAGUGAGGGGGCAGUGUCACCAGGGGUCCUUCUGCCAGGGAAGAGCGGGCAGAUCUUAGAGCUCAGAGGAAGGGAGGACUUUGGAGAGUCUCCUGCAGGAACACGAUGUGACAAAGUCCGUCCCUUCUCCGAGGACUCUGUCUGCUGUGAAGUGUGGAGUAAGGGUGGGGGGGCGGGAGGCCAUGGCAGGUUAAGCCCUGAGUGGUCAGGGGGGCGAUUUGGGCCGUGACUCUGAGCCUUUCUGGGGGGUUGGGGUGGCGACAGACCCGCCCUGAGACCCUGAUGAGAGCCGGGGACACUCUCCUCCAAUGGACCCCCUAUGGCCCCCACACGCCUCGAUUUUCUCCACGCAGAGGCUGCCGUGGGCAUUUGGGGGGCUUUUGUGGACCCCUGAGAUCCAUCCAUUCCUCUCCUCCUGCCCACCUCCAGCCCAGCUCCUUCAGUCUCCUGCCUCUCCAGUAAAGCCCCCUUUGCUUAAGCUGAUUGCCAGGUCAGUUUUGCUCAAGUCAGUUUAUACCACAGCAGGUAGGUAGUGAUCCCAGGUUCAGACAUGGGUCUGUCUGAAGCCCAGUGUAUUGCAUUUUCUCCUGUCUUGAUACCUGUGACACGUGUGUGUGUGUGUGAGAGAGAGGGAGAGAAAGGGAGCAAGCGGGAGCUGUUCGACACCCCCCUUUUUAUGUGACGAUAACAUUGCAGAUGAAGGAACAGCCUGCGCUGGACUGAAAUACAAAUGUGCGAGCAUUUUGUUCGAUUCCAGAAGCUCUGCUGAGGCCCUGAUGGGUUGGGAUGGAUUCUCGGGGCCCCUGGACAGAUGGCCUCGCUCCUCGAAGGGAAAGUCACCGUCUCUGACUUGAGCGCCAGCAUCCAGAGCCCGGGAAAGAAAUGACGUAUCGAAUGUGGUGUACGUGAUGACACGGUCUCCAGGAAGCAGAGAGGGAACAGCUAAGAAGACAAGCAGAAAAUAACACGACCCGAGAAGAGCCAGGACUUCCCUGCUUUCUUUUCAACAUGCAGAGCGUUGAUUAUUGAUGGAGCUUGAAGGGCUCUGGAAAGGAGACACAAGUGUUUGGGGCUUCUGGGAGGGUAGGUACCGUAGAGAUGCUGGAUGCUGGGCUGGGGUGGUUUCUGGGGGUCCUCAAACUAACGUGAAGUAUAAAUCACACCAGUAGAGACCUCAUAAGGUCGGGCGUUAAAGCCCUUGGAAUUUUUACAGCCAGCAGCCGGCGGCCUGGCAUUGAGCAGCAAGGGGGCUCCCGCUGGACAGCAGAUGGGGCCUCUCUGUGCCAAAAUAGUGUCACUGCCUGCAGUGCAAACCCACAUGCUGGGAUGAGGCCUCGCUGUUCUGGUGCUGGCCCCUAGCCUUCGAGCCAAACCCCUGGCUGCCGUCCUGUGUCCUGGACUCUCCAGGGACCCUCGGGCUGGAGCUUCCCUGCCUGAGCAGGGUUCUUGGCUCAGACGCUGGUCUGGCUGCCCCGCCAUGCUUCUUACCACCAGCCGAGGGUGAGGUGGGAGGCGGAGGCAUGGAUCCAGCCCAAAUGGUAGCCGAGGACCCAGGCAGCACUCCCGGGUGUAGCCGAGGAGGAACUGGAACCUCAGCCACGGGUCAGAGAGGAGGGAGACCCCAGCUGAUCCAGCCGCAGCUGAUCCAGCCUGGAACAGUCCUAGGGAAGGAACCGGCCCUGCUGGAGGCUGCAGCGGGAGGGCGCAGCCAGGCGUCUUGGACAAGGGUCUGACCUCGCCGAGGCGCACCCUCCCCGUUCUUUUUUUUUAAUUUUUUUUUAUAGUUGAUUUACGCUGUUCUGUCCAUUUCUGCCAUGCAGCAAGGUGACCCAGUUACGCGUGCAUGUGUACCUUCUCCUCCCAUGAUCCUUCAUCGUGUUCACCCCCUUUCUUAAUGCCACUCCCUCCCCGGGCCGUGAUGGGGACUAAACCGCGUACUCCUUUGCUCUGGCUGCCGUAACAGUGACGCAGACUGAGCGGCUUUAACAGCAGAGCCGCCUUCACCCAGGCAGGAAGCCUGAGAUCAAGGGGGUCCGCCGGGUGGACCCUCCUGCGGCCUCCCUCCUCGGCGUGCAGAGGGCUGGCUUCCGUGACCCCCCUGCUCCCCCCUCUCUCUUAUAAGACCCCGGCCACCGUGGAUUCAAAUCCACCCCAGUGACCGCAGUGCAACCUCCUCCCCUCUUUAAAGACCCCGUCUCCAAACCCAGUCCCAUGCUGAGAGACUGGAGUGCAGAUUUUAAGAGGAUACCGUUCAGCCCAUGACAACUGAGAUGCCGCAUGGAGACGCCAGACACGGCAAAGGUGGUUAAUCACAGCGGCGGCUGAGAAGGCAAAGCAGAGCCGGUGUUAAGCACCCAGCCGAGCUCCGCGCCUUAGCCCUCUCCUCCCCCAGGAAGCCACCCCGGGCUUCCGGCCUUGAUGCCGCCGGGGAGGGAGGGACUCAGCUCCUGGCCCGGGCGCACCUGCGCUGCUGGCUCGGCUCCACUGAGCUGGAUUGUAGUCUUCCUGGAGCUGGGCUGCGCCUCCUUCCAUGUUUGAUUCCAGCGGGUCGGGGGACACCCCCCAGGCACUCAGGACCGGCUGCUUGGGCAAGGGAACCACCCCUAAGGCCAGAAGCAGUUCUCUGGACGCCACUGAGACCCAGAAGCAGGCUCCCUGCGGCCUGAGGGAUCAGAGGCGAGGUGCUGGGUUUCUGGUGAUUUGGCUUCAUCACAAGGGAAGGCAUGACUUAGAGGCAUCUUCUGGCCUUUUCUAGUCAUCUCCCGUUCUCCCUACAGGUUUUCAAAAUCUGCCUGGGCGUUCCCUUUGUGGCUCAGCGGUAACUGACGUGACUAGCAUCCAUGAGGACGCAGGUUUAGUCCCUGGCCUCACUCAGUGGGUUAAGGGUCCAGUGUUGCCGUGAGCUGUGGUAUAGGUUGCAGAUGUGGCUUGGAUCCUGUUGCUGUGGCUGUGGUGUAGGCUGGCAGCUGCAGCUCUGAUUGGACCCCUACCCCGAGAACCUCCAUAAGCCGCAGUGCAGCCUGAAAAAGAAAAAAUCUGCCUGAACCCAAGACAGGUUUUUCCAUGCCCUCUUCUUCCCUGAACUGUGACGUAUCCCAAUUGGAAAAUUGUCCCCAGAACCAUCAGCAAGUUGGUGAUAAUAUCUGCAGCAGAAACGCCCCCGCGGCUUUCUCGGUAACACUGCAAAGGUGAUUGGAGUAGCCGGUCCCCAGG